rnacentral:rRNA from 1 species
UAAGUCAGGCAACGAGCGAGACCCACGCCAACAGUUGCCAGCAUGUCCUCCGGGAUGGUGGGGACACUGUUGGGACCGCCUCUGCUAAAGAGGAGGAAGGAAUGGGCAACGGUAGGUCAGCAUGCCCCGAAUUAUCCGGGCUACACGCGGGCUACAAUGGGCAGGACAAUGGGUUUCGACACCGAAAGGUGAAGGCAAUCUCUUAAACCUGCUCGUAGUUCGGAUUGCGGGUUGCAACUCGCCCGCAUGAAGCUGGAAUCUGUAGUAAUCGCGUCUCAAAAUGGCGCGGUGAAUAUGUCCCUGCUCCUUGCACA